UACGUAGGGGGCAAGCGUUGUCCGGAAUCAUUGGGCGUAAAGCGCGUGUAGGCGGCCCGAUAAGUCCGCUGUGAAAGUCCAGGGCUCAACCCUGGAAUGCCGGUGGAUACUGUCGGGCUCGAGUCCGGAAGAGGCGAGUGGAAUUCCUGGUGUAGCGGUGAAAUGCGCAGAUAUCAGGAGGAACACCGGUGGCGAAGGCGGCUAUCUGGACAGAGUCUGACGCUGAGGCGCGAAAGCUAGGGGAGCAAACAGG
rnacentral:rRNA from 1 species